AUGGUGGUCGACGUAGCUGGUUCGGCCGCUCAGCCAGAGUGGUCGUCGUAAGAGGGAAUCCGGUGUGAGACCGGAACUGCCCCGCAGCGGUGAGCGAGAACGACCGCCGUCAUCAGCACUGGGAGUGAUCCCGGGAAGCGACGGUCAGUAGGCCCCGCGUGCUCGUCCGAUCGGGCGCGUACGCGCAGCUCGCAAGUCCGAAGACCUGCCCGCUAUCGCUCGUGGAC
rnacentral:ncRNA from 2 species